UACGGGAGGGAGCUAGCGUUGUUCGGAAUUACUGGGCGUAAAGCGCGCGUAGGCGGCUCAUCAAGUCAGGGGUGAAAGCCCGGGGCUCAACCCUGGAACUGCCUUUGAAACUAGUGAGCUAGAAUCUUGGAGAGGCGAGUGGAAUUCCGAGUGUAGAGGUGAAAUUCGUAGAUAUUCGGAAGAACACCAGUGGCGAAGGCGACUCGCUGGACAAGUAUUGACGCUGAGGUGCGAAAGCGUGGGGAGCAAACAGG
rnacentral:rRNA from 1 species